GACUACCUACGGGAGGCAGCAGUGAGGAAUAUUGGUCAAUGGGAGAGAUCCUGAACCAGCCACGCCGCGUGAGGGAAGACGGCCCUAUGGGUUGUAAACCUCUUUUGUCGGAGAACAAAACCCGGGACGUGUCCCGGACUGUGUGUAUCCGAAGAAAAAGCAUCGGCUAACUCCGUGCCAGCAGCCGCGGUAAUACGGAGGAUGCGAGCGUUAUCCGGAUUUAUUGGGUUUAAAGGGUGCGUAGGCGGUCUGUUAAGUCAGCGGUAAGAUUGCGGGGCUCAACCCCGUCGAGCCGUUGAAACUGG
rnacentral:rRNA from 1 species